rnacentral:rRNA from 1 species
GUAGGGUGCGAGCGUUAAUCGGAAUUACUGGGCGUAAAGGGUGCGCAGGCGGUGCCGCAAGUCAGGCGUGAAAUCCCCGGGCUUAACCUGGGAAUGGCGCUUGAAACUACGGGACUGGAGUAUGGCAGAGGGAGGUGGAAUUCCACGUGUAGCGGUGAAAUGCGUAGAGAUGUGGAGGAACACCGAUGGCGAAGGCAGCCUCCUGGGCCAAUACUGACGCUCAUGCACGAAAGCGUGGGGAGCAAACAGGAUUAGAUACCCUGGUAGUCCACGCCCUAAACGAUGAUGACUAGUUGUUGGAGGAGUUAAAUCCUUUAGUAACGCAGCUAACGCGAGAAGUCAUCCGCCUGGGGAGUACGGUCGCAAGAUUA